UAGAGAUGUGUUUAAUGCAAA
rnacentral:piRNA from 1 species